GUUGUUUGUUUAGAGGAUAUCAAAAAGGACACAAGUAAAGCAUGCUCCGAUACGAUACAGGUUAGUCUGUGUUAGAAGCUGGUACUUUUAAAGUUCUUGGUUAGGAGUUAGUGAUGGCUAUAUAGGACUUAGUUUAGUAAGGGGUUGGCAGUCAAGGGUUAGUUACUAUUACCUUCAGAAAGCAGUUUUGCUAAACACCAAGAAGUAAACAA